rnacentral:rRNA from 1 species
UGGGGAAUAUUGCACAAUGGGCGCAAGCCUGAUGCAGCCAUGCCGCGUGUAUGAAGAAGGCCUUCGGGUUGUAACGUACUUUCAGCGGGGAGGAAGGGAGUAAAGUUAAUACCUUUGCUCAUUGACGUUACCCGCAGAAGAAGCACCGGCUAACUCCGUGCCAGCAGCCGCGGUACUACGGAGGGUGCAAGCGUUAAUCGGAAUUACUGGGCGUAAAGCGCACGCAGGCGGUUUGUUAAGUCAGAUGUGAAAUCCCCGGGCUCAACCUGGGAAAUGCGUCUGUGACUGGCAGGAGUGAGUCUCGUAGAGGGGGGUAGAAUUCCAGGUGUAGCGGUGAAAGGCGUAGAGAUCUGGGGGAAUACCGGUGGGGAAGGCGGCCCCCUGGACGAAGACUGACGCUCAGGUGCGAAAGCGUGGGGAGCAAACAGG